rnacentral:lncRNA from 1 species
AAUCUAGAAAACAAGUGAGAAACACAGUACACAAUCACAAGAUAAAAGGAGAGGGAAGAAGAAAACAAAAGACACCAAGAGAUUGUUCACCCAGUUCGGUCCAAACUUGACCUACUCUGGAGGAGAGAUUGUACUCUCCAAUCCACUAUCAAAGAGUUCUUACAAAAGGGAUACAAAAGGUUACAAGAAAUUAGAUUUGACAAGUUCACAAUGAACAAACCCUAAUUUCUACCCUUUUCCCAAUCUCACCAAGACACUCAAUGAUUUUCUCUCUACAAGGUGUUUCCCAUGUUUUCAACCCAAGAGAUACUCUAAUCAAAGAACCCUAAACCCUAGAGUUGCUCCCUUUGAUUUCCCAAGUCUCUCUCUCUUCCAACUCUCCUUCAAAGAUGCACAAGAACACUUUAUAUACUAGCCUUCCUCUAAAGCAAUCGUGUCACGAUUUUCCAAAUCGUGUCACGAUUUGCGUACAACCCAAGGUAUGACCAGUCCUUAUCAAGGAUACUUAACGAGCAAGUUUCACAAUCGUGUCACGAUUUGGCACCCUGCAACCUAGCUCACGGCACCACGAAAUCGUGUCGUGAUGCCAAAUUCAUGUCACGAUUUCCCUGUUCUUCCAGACCACAAAUUUGAAGACAAAUCUCAACAUGUUUUUAAAAUUCUCACAUUUUAUCUCGUUAUCAAAAUUAGUCCCUGCGCUUAAUUCUCUAACGGAAUGUUGAUGUGGCGGUUACUGGGUCCCAAUUAUUUUAGGGUUAAAUAUGUUUUUUGGUCCCUACAUUUUACGUGACUUUGAAAAAUAGUCCUUACAUUUUAGGACUCACUAACUGCCAUAUCAGCAUUCCUGUUUUCUACGUGUGUCUAUAUGUUCUGGAUUGUCUAAAGUUCUUGCUCGUCGGUUUAGGAUCCAAAACCUAUCAAAUCUAUUGAGGCCGAACAAAUGCUACUCUACCCCUAACAAUGGAGAGGUCUGCUCGCAACAACUAAGAUGUUAAUAGACUCUAUGAGACUAGUAAGGUCUCCCACUACUAGCAAAUUGAUAACGUUCGACAGUUACAUAAUCUUCCUUCUAUAAUCGUCGACCAAAUAGGACUAAAAUAGUCCUGCCUAAUACAAUUUACCAUUCCUAAAACUAACUUUAUGCUUCUAACUCGAGUGUUAGAGUGUCUUCUGCCCCCCCCCCCCCCCCAAUCGUGCCACGAUUUGGCACCCUGCAACCUAGCUCACGGCAGCACGAAAUCGUGUCACGAUGCCAAAUUCGUGUCACGAUUUCCCUGUUCUUCCAGACCACAAAUUUGAAGACAAAUCUCAACA